rnacentral:tRNA from 1 species
GAGCUCGUAGCUCAGCUGGUUAGAGCGCUACGUUGACAUCGUAGAGGCCGUUGGUUCGAAUCCAACCGAGCUCACCA